GAUAGAAAUAACCUCAGAGAAUUGAGCAUUGAGUUAAAGAAUUUUGCUAGUGUGAUCAAAAGGCUUAUAUUUCACAAGGUGAAUGAUUGAAACUCGAAACAUCUUCGCAAUUGAUUCAGCUUUCCUUUGACUAUGCCUGUAUAGAUGCACUCAUUGAUAAAGAAGUCUUCAAGUUCACGCACACUGGAAACCUCAAGCUCCUCCAAAAGUGCAUCAUAGGGGAGAUCCUUGUUUGACUCGGCAACAGUGAGCACAGUAAGUUGUUUAAGCUUCAGAAGUUGAUCAGGUAUCAACUGAGGCAGAGUGCCAGAAUUACUUUUAUAAUCGCG
rnacentral:misc_RNA from 1 species